UACGGAGGGGGCUAGCGUUGUUCGGAAUUACUGGGCGUAAAGCGCACGUAGGCGGCUUUACAAGUCAGGGGUGAAAGCCCGGAGCUCAACUCCGGAAUUGCCCUUGAGACUGUAUCGCUUGAACACGGGAGAGGUGAGUGGAAUUCCGAGUGUAGAGGUGAAAUUCGUAGAUAUUCGGAAGAACACCAGUGGCGAAGGCGGCCUUCUGGACCAAUACUGACGCUCAUGCACGAAAGCGUGGGGAGCAAACAGG
rnacentral:rRNA from 1 species